rfam:Zea mays cultivar B73 chromosome 1, whole genome shotgun sequence.
AUAUCUUUCUCAGUCUUUUGACUAAAAUAAAAUGUAAUGUUUAUUCUUAUCAAUUUAAUAUAUGGUCUAUAGACAAUAUGCUCACUUUGGUAUUAAAUUUAUUUACUAUUGAUAUUUUUUGGGAGGGUGUGUACGACUGGUUUACUUCGCUCAACCAUUGAUUGUAUUGCGGGUACAGCCUCGCCCUCUCAACCAAUAACAU